CUAGAUUGGCGAUCUCUGCGGUCCCAGCAAGACGAAGAGUCUUUGUUAGCAGACCAAGAGAAAGCAACUGAAGAACGUCAGCAACGACUGGCGGCAUAUAAAGAACCGUCAAGUGAACUGCUGGUGAAGUUCAAAUAUCCGAAUGGAUUCACCAGGAAGAGAACUUUCAAUGUGUCGGACCCAAUUCAGGUCUUGUUUGACUCGAGUGAAAUAAAUAUUCAGUGUUCAACAAGCAGCAUCAUCCACACCAGCUGAGAGUCACUUAUGGAUCCUGGCAUAACAACAUCUGCAACUCUCUACGUGUUUUGGAUUUCAACUCUAGAUAUUCAGGUAAAGUCCAAAUCCCAUACAAUGUCGUCUCGGUAUUUUUGAUUUUUUUCCCCAAAAUGUUUCAGAAUGCCGCAACUAGACUUUUGACUGGAUCCCAGAAACGAGAGCAUUUAACACCAGAAUCGGCUUCCCUGCAUUGGUUACCAGUUUGUUAUCGGAUUGAUUUGAAGUCUUUCAUUGGUUUUUGAAACUUGACAUGGCCUCGCUCCAGCUCAUCUUCACGGCCAUCCCAGUGCUGGAACACUUUGGUCAAAUAAUAAGUUGCUCUUACAUAUUCCUUGGACUGAGUGACAGUGAAGAGCAGCAGUGUUCGCUGCCACUGCUCCUAAUGUUUGGAACAACUUUCUAAUUUUUUAACAUUUGAUCUGCUCACAGGCUGGAACAUUUCAUAUCGCUCCUUAAAACUCAUUUUUAUUCUUUGGCUUUUUGUCAGGCCUGACUUUGUAAUUUUCUUGUCUGUUUUAAUUUGUGUUUUUGUCUGUGCUACAUGAAUACUGCACAGACCUUUGGUGCAAUAAAAUUGGUUUUAAAAGUGCUUCAUAGAUAAAAUUGACAUUGACAUGAUUAGGUUUUAUUUAGGAAAGGUGUCCAGUUCAGGCGGAUGGAGUGCUGGAGCAGUCACUGUCCAAAGUCUACAGACAUUUCUUUCUGACCGACGUCUUUGUCAGCCCAGCCACCACUGGCCCCAACAUCUCCUCAGGUCCUGUCCACCAUGCCCAACUGCCCAGAAACAUCAACUUCGUUCUCCUCUGGGGCGACUGUGUCCCGGCCCUCCACUCAAGUACAAGGACACCAGAAGGACACCAGCAGCUUCUCCUUGAUGCUGUUCCUCCUGAGAACCCUCAGGAAGUUCAGUCUUUGCUGGGCC